CACAGACCUYCAGUUGAAAGUAGAGGCACAGUAAYAGKGAAGAAAAGCAAAUGCUCCCGGUUAUUGCUGUGCUUUUGCCCCUCCACGCUGCUGUAUUGUCUUUGCCAAAAGAUGCUGUUAGCCAACAGCUAGGACCUCUGCAACAGCCCAGAAGGAAGACUGUUUUUGUUGAAGCUGCCACCCUUUUUUGCUGGACAAGAAGGAUGAUUCCUCAAGGAGUACCCUGAAGUUAUUUCUGGGGUCUUGGAUGCYGAAUUUGCUACAGAAUCUCUCCAGUGUAGGACAAGGAUUUUACACAACCCUGUUCACUGCCUUUGAGAGGAAGGUUUUAAGGUGACAAUUUGCAGARGUAACAURACCGUUCUGCCAUAGCAUUGCCAUGAUUUCUGGGUCUUCUGUCCAUCAUGAGCAGUGUCUUGCAGUGUCACAGGGAAGAGCUGCUUUUGUUGAUGCAUCUGAGCCCUCACACUGUGCCAGAAAUUGGCACCUUGGCAAGAGACUUGAAGAUAAUUAAAAUCCCUAAUUAAUGUCAGAUUGCGUCAACAGUUGAGGGAGUUUCUGAAACUGAUUUAUCUUGGCCAUUAUGAGUAAUAAAUACUCAGUAACAGAUCUAUCAUCUCCAAAUUGCCUAAUCCUUCCCUGAAUCCAAUUUGGUCUCUAUAACAUCCA